AAAAUUUCCCAUGGGUUAUAUUUUAAGGUCUCCUCAACCACAGCCGGGGAGGCAGAUGAGUGAGGGGGCUCGGGAGGGGCAGCCGUCUCAGGUCCUCCUCCAUCUUAGCCGGGGCGCCCAUUCUCCCCGUACGGGCCCUGGGAGGUACUGGCCCAGAUGGGGAGCGAUCUUACCAGUAUUGGGCCUUUUCAAGCAGUGAUGUGUAUAACUGGAAGGCUCAAAACCACCCUUUCUCUGAAGACCCGAGGGGCCUGACUGACCUGUUUGAGUCCGUCAUGCAUACACAUAGCCCCACCUGGGACGAUUGCCAGCAGCUCCUUAAGACCUUGUUCACCACCGAAGAGUGCGAGCAGAUCCUCUGGAUCCUCACCAAGGCCAAAAAGAAUGUCCCCGGGGACAAAGGACAGCGACAACCUUGCCAAACCUGAUCGACAAGUGCUUCCCCUUGAAUAGACCGGAUUGGGACUUUGGGAACGUGGAAGGUAGGGAGCGUCUCUGAGUUUACUGCCAGACUCUUAUGGCAGGUCUCCGAGUGGCAUCUCCCCACCAAUUUGGCUAAGGUAAAAGCUGUAAUGCAAGGGGUAAGUGAAAGCCCGGCCGUAUUUUUAGAGUGCCUCUAUGAUGCUUAUAGGCAGUACACCCCUUUGGACCCCCUGGCAGAGGAGAAUCAGUCAGCUGGGAUUAUAUCCUUUAUAAACCAAGCUGCCCCAGAUAUUAGAAAGAACUUACAUAAACAGGAAGGAUUAGGGGAAAUGACCAUUCGGGAUCUGAUGAAAGUGGCAGAGAGAGUUUUUAACACUCGGGAGACUCCAGAGGAAAGGGAGGAUCGGAUCAGAAAGGAGAAUCAGGCGUUACAGGAAAGACUUAGGAAAGAAGACAGAGAGCAUCAGAGUAGCGAGAACAGAAGGCAGCAGAAGGAGAUGGCCAAGAUCCUGCUGGCAGGGGUACAGGGCACAGCCCGGGCGGGACCAGGUCUAGCCGGACCGGCCUGACCUCGGAAACCGUGGCCCAGGCUAGAUGGGGGCAAUGCGCAAACUGCAAAGAAUAUGGGCAUUGGAAGAGGGAAUGCCCCAAGCGCCAGGGCCAGACUGGACAGGACGCUCGGGUAUUACUGGUAGGAAUGGACAGUGACUAGGGGCGACGGGACUCGGGUUCCCUCCCCGAGUCUUGGGUUAACUGUGUAUGUGGAGGGGAAACCAGUGGGAUUCAUGGUAGACACAGGAGCCCAGUACUCAGUUUUAAACAAGCCUACGGAGCCCUUAUCUCAGAAAACCAGCCUAGUGCAGGGGGCAACUGGGUCCAAGGCUUAUCGAUGGACCAGUAGGUGCCAGGUGGACUUGGGGCCCCACCAAGUGACCCACUCUUUCCUGGUUAUCCCUGAAUGCCCGGCCCCCUUGUUGGGGCGUGAUCUCCCAACCAAGGUCCAGGCCCGUAUCUCCUUUGAGCCGGAUGGCAUCAAAGUGAUGGACUGCCAAGGGCGGCCCCUUCAUGUCUUGACCCUGUCCCUCGCAGAUGAGCAUUGCCUGUUUGCCCUGUAGUACACUUCUCCCCCCCAGAGAGUGGCCCCAUGAGAUGGAUUACUGGUUUAGGACAUACCCUCAGGCGUGGGCGGAGAUAGCGGGUGUGGGCCUAGCGGCCCACCGAGCACCAGUAGUGGUCGAGGUCAAAGCCUCGGCCCAGCCUAUCCGGAUCCGCCAGCACCUCAUCCCCGGGUCCACCAGGGCACAGAAAGGAAUUGCUCCACACAUUAACCGCCUCCUAGAAGCCGGGAUACUGAAACCCUGCCACUCUGCCUGGAACACCCCGCUUCUCCCCGUUAAGAAACCAGGGGGAAAGGAUUACAGGCCAGUCCAGGACUUGAGGGAAGUGAGUAAGAGGGUCGAGGACAUCUACCCCACGGUCCCCAACCCUUAUACCUUACUAAGUCACUUGUCCUGUUCACAUGUUUGGUAAACCACCCUAGACCGAAAGAAUGCAUUUUUUAGCAUAGCCCUGGCACCCAGCAGCCAAAAUAUUUUUGCCUUCGAAUAGCAUGAUGACAGUACGGGAACCCCCGGACAGUUAACCUGUACUAGACUACCACAAGGCUUAAAAAACUCUCCUACUCUGUUUAAUGAAGCCUUAAAUCAGGACCUGGACUCGUUUCGCCAGAGCCAUGAUUCAGCUACACUCCUGCAAUAUGUAGAUGACUUGCUUCUGGCAGCCCCCACUGAGGCCGAAUGCCGACAGGCCACUGUAGACCUCCUCCAGGAGCUGGGACAAUUGGGCUAUCCGGCCGGUGCAAAGAAAGCCCAAAUAUGCAGGCAGACAGUCACCUACCUGAGGUAUAAAUUGAAGGAAGGAACCAGAUGGUUAACAGAGGCCACGAAAGAGACUAUUCUUAGGCUUCCAGUCCCAACCUCGGCCCGAGAGGUCCAUGAGUUUCUAGGGACAGCGGGCUACUGCAGGCUAUGGAUACCGGGGUAUGCUGAGAUAGCCAAGCCCCUGUAUGAGGCAACCAAGGAUAAGGCCCCCUGGGCCUGGGGCCAAAACAGCAAAAGGCCUUUGAAGAACUCAAGACCGCCCUCUUAAAGGCACCAGUCCUGGCAUUGCUAGAUCCCCUGAAGUCCUUCACCCUCUUCGUCGAUGAGAGGAAGAGGAUAGCGAAAGGGGUACUGAUACAGUGCCUGGGGCCAUGGAAGCGUCCGGUUGCCUACUUAUCCAAGAGACUAGACCCAGUCGCAUCAGGAUGGCCACCGUGCCUGAGGAUCAUCGUGGCAGUAGCCCUGAUGGUAAAGGACGAAGACCAACUCACUUUCGGGCAGCAUCUGAAGGUGGUAACUCCCCAUGCGAUCGAGGGAAUCCUGAAACAUCCCCCUGGUAGGUGGAUGACCAAUGCCCGCCUGACCCAUUACCAAGGACUCCUGUUAGAUGCACCCCGGAUCAUCUUUGCUGAACCAACUGCACUGAAUCCAGCCAUCCUGCUGCCGACCCCGGAUCUGGAAGCCCCCCUGCAUGACUGCCAGAUCAUGACAGAAAUCACCCAGAUGCGCCCCGACCUCCAGGACACCGCCCUUCCCAACAGUGAGUUGAUAUGGUACACUGAUGAAAGCAGCUUCGUUAUGGACGGGGUGCAAAGGGCGGGCGCAGCGGUAGUGGGCCAAGACGGGAAUGUCAUUUGGAGUGCCCACUUCCCCCGGGGACCUCAGCCCGGAAGGCCAAACUGAUUGCUCUGGCGGAGGCACUGGAACGGGGCCGAGGGGAACCCAGUGACUGUCUACACCGAUAGCCGCUAGGCUUUCAGCACUGUCCAAGUGCAUGGGGCCAUCUAUCGGGAGAGGGGCUUUGUUACAGCGGAAGGAAAGGAACUGCGCAAUCUCCCAGAGGUACAGAGGCUGCUUGCGGCAGUGCAGAAGCAGUUGUCCACGUACCUGGACACCAGUCUACCCGGACCUCGGAGGCUGAAGAAAACCGGCGAGCGGAUGAGGCCGCCAAAAAGGCGGCAGUAACUUCACCAACUUUGGCACUCGCCCUGCCCACACCCGAGCUCCCACGCCUGCCCCUGCGACCUGACUACACCCCAGAGGAUCUGCAGUGGAUCCAGAACCACCACUACCCAAAGCCUGAUCAGCAUAGGUGGCAUCGGGACCCAGAGGAAAGACUGAUACUGCCGGCAAAACUAGGACUGUUCCUCCUUUCCAUCCUGCACCAAGCCGCCCAUUUAGGGAAGAGAAAAUUGCUGACAGUUCUUGAGUCCGCCCACCUCCGGUUCUCCUGACAAACAACCCAGAUCCAGGAGAUCGUGGAUCAGUGUGUUGGGUGCCAGGCUAUGAAACCCAAUAGGAAGGGACCCCUACGCACAGGUUGACGGCAUUGGACCUUGGGUUCACCACUCCCACAUGCGCCGGCCACCCCGCUGGAGCAGAGACAAGCCAGGGAGUGGACCGUGCGAUAACACCCUAAUAACCCCCUGAAGCUACAACUCUCCACACCUCGGGGACGCACCACAUCUCCAGUCCAGUCUGACGAUGAAGUGGCUGCUGGUCCUGACCCUGCUCAACGACUGGAAAAGGAACCUCGCGGAAACCAAUCCUUAUCAGCCUUAUAAGCAGACAUGGAUCCUGACCGAUGGAGAGACUGGUAGGACUCUCAACGAAACCACCCGCGUGGCCCCACUGUCCACAUGGUGGCCAGACUUAAUCUUCUGCUUCAGAGACAUCAACCCUGAUUACAAGUCCACGGCACCCAAUUUAGCCCGUAGCUAUGGAUUCUAUGCCUGCCCAGGACACUCUAAGGACCCACAAUGUGGGGGGGUCCAAUAUUCCUUCUGUAAGAGUUGGGCCUGUGUCACCUCUAAUGACGGGGAUUGGAGGUGGCCAGUUUCACGACCAGACUCCCUACGAUUGGCCUUUGUUAAUCAAGGAAAGCCUAGAGGGGCGACUGUUCCUCUCCUUCGAGGUCCUUGUUCCCCUCAAGACUCAGACAGGAUCCGAGUUCAGUUCACUGACCAGGGAAAACAGGAAGGGGUUAACAAUUGGAUUCAAGGAAAACAGUGGGGAGUAGUAUUCUACAAAUAUGGGGGACAUGCGGGAUCCACUAUUGUUGUCAGAUUAAAGGUUGAGGCAGUACAGAAGAGUAGUACUCCGGUAGGUCCAAAUAGGGUGUUGGCUCCUCCCGGCGGGCGAAAGGCUCCUCCCACUCCUCCCGCCCCUACCAAGAACCCAGGUAACAAAAACCUCACAAACGGGACCACAAGACCCCAGACUAACACCUCUGUAUUCUCCCCAGCACCUACUACACAGGCCACCGAGGACCCCUUGUGAAAACUAAUGCUUACUAUGUAUGAGACCCUUAACGCCACCAGCCCUAACCUCACGGCCUCGUGCUGGCUAUGUUACGAUGUGAAGCCUCCGUUUUAUGAAGCAGUAGGGCUAAAUGCCACCUAUAAUGUAUCAUUAAAUGAGAACCCCUCUCAAUGUUCAUUGGGGGGACCGUAAAAUCCGUCUAACCCUGCAGCGAGUGAGUGGCAAUGGAACCUGCCUAGGGAAAGUGUCCCAGGUUAAACGAAGUCUUUGAACUUCCGUAGAUAGCACCCCUAGUUGGAAAGAUGGCCCAAAGUGGCUAAUCCCAGAAAAUAAUGGAUGGUGGAUAUGUUCAAAGACUGGCCUCACCCUGUGCCUCUCAUCCUCGGUCUUUAAUGCCUCUGAGGAAUUCUGAGUCCUGAUGACUGUGAUGCCCCGCAUCCUCUACCAUCCCGAGGAGCACAGGUAUUCUCACUGGAAUAGAGGCACAAGCGAGAGAAGUAAGAGAGAGCCCAUCACUGCACUAACUAUUGCUACCCUGUUCAGCUUAGGAGUGGGUAGCUGGGGCCGGGACCGGCAUAGCCUCCCUGGUUACUCAACGAGCAGGAAUGACACCCCUGAGGGUGGCCAUAGAUGAGGAUCUAGAAAGAAUAGAGACCUCUGUAAGUCAUUUAGAAAAAUCUCUCACCUCCCUGUCCAAGGUAGUACUCCAGAAUAGAAGAGGGCUUGAUUUGUUGUUCCUCCAACAAGGGGGACUAUGUGCCACGUUAGGAGAAGAGUGCUGCUUUUAUGCUGACCACUCGGAGGUAAUAAAAGAAUCUAUGGCUAAGGUGAGGGGAGGAUUAGCCAAGAGAAAGAGGGAAAGGGAGGCACAGGAAAACUGGUUCGAGCCUUGGUUUAAUAGGUACCCCUGGUUCACCACCCUAGUCUCUACCUUAGUUGGUCCAUUUGUUUUGCUUGUGUUUAUUUUAACUUUUGGCCCUUGCAUUUUGAAUAGGCUUGUUAAUUUUAUAAAAAAUCGUGUUAAUACCGUCCAACUCAUGGUCUUGAGACAACAGUAUGAGAGUUUGCUCGCUCCUGGGGACCCCUCCAACUUCCCCGUAAAUGAGCAGGAUUCCUCAUUAUACACAACUAAAGGGGGGAAUGUAAGAGUGGGUUCGCAUUAGAACAGCCAUCUUAAGGACCGGGAAGCCAUUUUACUGAGCGACCCCUGGCCGAAACUGCAUAUGUGACUUUGAGAAAAGAGGAACUAGCUAAAACCUGAAAAACAACUUAAUCAUAAAUGACCAGGUUGUGGCGCAAUUCUGUUUGAAAAGAGCUUACCUUGUUAAACCACCAGGUUGUGGCGCAAGCCAAAAAUAUAUAACUAUGGAAAAUUACUGUGAGUUAGAUGUUUUGAAAAUGCUGUAUAAACCCUUGGCUUUGAGCGCUCUGGGUCCUUGUUGAAACCCGCCGCGUCGGGCAGAUACUUGGACCCCAGCUAGCUGGAAAUAAACCUCGCUGUGUGACUUGCA